rnacentral:rRNA from 1 species
GACGAACGCUGGCGGCGUGCUUAACACAUGCAAGUCGAGCGGAAAGGCCCUUCGGGGUCCUCGAGCGGCGAACGGGUGAGUAACACGUGAGUAACCUGCCCCAGACUUUGGGAUAACCCUCGGAAACGGGGGCUAAUACCGGAUACGACACAGCUUCGCAUGGGGUCUGUGUGGAAAGUUUUUCGGUUUGGGAUGGGCUCGCGGCCUAUCAGCUUGUUGGUGGGGUGAUGGCCUACCAAGGCGACGACGGGUAGCCGGCCUGAGAGGGCGACCGGCCACACUGGGACUGAGACACGGCCCAGACUCCUACGGGAGGCAGCAGUGGGGAAUAUUGCACAAUGGGCGGAAGCCUGAUGCAGCGACGCCGCGUGAGGGAUGACGGCCUUCGGGUUGUAAACCUCUUUCAGCAGGGACGAGGCGUAAGUGACGGUACCUGCAGAAGAAGCGCCGGCCAACUACGUG